rnacentral:rRNA from 1 species
AGUGAACGCUGGCGGUAGGCCUAACACAUGCAAGUCGAACGGCAGCACAGUAAGAGCUUGCUCUUACAGGUGGCGAGUGGCGGACGGGUGAGGAAUACAUCGGAAUCUACUUUUUCGUGGGGGAUAACUUAGGGAAACUUACGCUAAUACCGCAUACGACCUACGGGUGAAAGCAGGGGAUCUUCGGACCUUGCGCGAUUGAAUGAGCCGAUGUCGGAUUAGCUAGUUGGCGGGGUAAAGGCCCACCAAGGCGACGAUCCGUAGCUGGUCUGAGAGGAUGAUCAGCCACACUGGAACUGAGACACGGUCCAGACUCCUACGGGAGGCAGCAGUGGGGAAUAUUGGACAAUGGGCGCAAGCCUGAUCCAGCCAUACCGCGUGGGUGAAGAAGGCCUUCGGGUUGUAAAGCCCUUUUGUUGGGAAAGAAAAGCAGCAGGUUAAUACCCCGCUGUUCUGACGGUACCCAAAGAAUAAGCACCGGCUAACUUCGUG